GUUUCCGUAGGUGAACCUGCGGAAGGAUCAUUGUCGAAACCUGCCCAGCAGAACGACCCGCGAACAUGUGAUAUAAACCUCGGGAGCGUCCGGGCCUCGUGCCGGGGCGCUCCCGCCCGCCUCGUGGGCGUUGGCCGUUCGCUUCGCGCGCGUCCUCGCCCCCGCGGCCCAACAACGAACCCCGGCGCGGACUGCGCCAAGGAAAACUAAACGAGGGAGCCCGCUCCCGCGGCCCCGGACACGGUGCGCCUGCGGGAUGCGUGGCCUUCUUUAUCUGAAACAAAACGACUCUCGGCAACGGAUAUCUCGGCUCUCGCAUCGAUGAAGAACGUAGCGAAAUGCGAUACUUGGUGUGAAUUGCAGAAUCCCGUGAACCAUCGAGUCUUUGAACGCAAGUUGCGCCCCAAGCCGUUAGGCCGAGGGCACGUCUGCCUGGGUGUCACGCAUCGUUGCCCCCCACAAAACAUGCCAAUGUGCUUGUGGUUGUGGUGAGCGUAGAUUGGCCUCCCGUGCGCUGGCGCUCGCGGUUGGCCCAAAUUUGAGUUCUCGGAGACGAGUCCCGCGACUAUCGGUGGUGUUUAUGAAACGGCCUCGAGAUCCCGUCGCGCGGUCGCGUCUCUCCCGCAGGACUCUGUGACCCUGACGUAGCGUCGCCUUGACGCUCGCAUCGCGACCCCAGGUCAG
rnacentral:rRNA from 1 species